AUCCAGACUGUGGAGCAGACAUACAAUUUAGUUUAGUCAGUUAUUUUCAUUUAAAUUAGAACAAAAUUGUAGAAAUCUAGUGAAGAGCAGCCACAGGGAAUUUGUUUAAUACAAGGUCUGGCAAUAAAGCCUCCCCAGUUUGAGGAAGCCACUAUAUAUAUCCAUUGCUGCAUAUGUGCCGUGUUCAGUGUGCGCCAUGGCUUGGCACGGUGAGCAUCGGGCGUUUGUUGUGGAAGAGUUUAUUACAAACGGCGGUUCUGUGAUUUCUACUCAACGAGCGUUUCGGAUUUGAUUCAAACUUGGCCGACAUGAGAGUGUUCCUGCCGCGAAAACGAUUAGACUGUGGGUGUCAAACUUUAGAGAAACAGGGUCAGCAUUAAAAAGAAAGCCAACUGGCCCACCUUGUACUGCAAUAACCCCGGAAAAUGUGGCGCGAGUGAGAACAUCCAUCCAACAGUCUCCAAAGUGUUCAGUGGUUAAACAUGCAGCUGCCCUGGCAUUGUCAGAAAGCAGUGUAAGGAGAAUUCUGCAUAAAGAACUUCAACUUCAACCAAAAUCGUACAACAAUUGUUGCAAAUCCAUCAUGGGUCCAAAGAAGGUAAAUUCAAAGCGGAAGUGUGGUGCUGCUGAUGUGCUUGCAGAAGAAGUGGAAGUCAAAUCUUCAAAAGUAGCCAAAAAAAAUGGUGCUGAAGGAAGCAGCAGCAGCAGUGUUAAUGUUCUUGAACUGAACAAGAUUAUCAUUGAGCAUUGCAAAUCCUGACGAGUGUAUGGCCGCUCAGCAGAGCAGCUCCUGGCUGCUUUGCGAGAAACCUUCCCCAAGUUGGAGGCUGAGAUCAAUCCCUCCAAACCGCGCUCCAAGUCAUUUGAGGUGACGGGUGUUUUUUCGGAUGGCUCCGAGGUUCUGUUGUGGUCUGGGCUGAAAAAAGGACCGCCUCGCAAGCUCAAGUUCCCUGAGCCUGAUGUUGUUGUGGACGCCAUCCGCGAGCACCUGAAGUAGAGCCAUUCACCGCCCGCAGCUAAUGCAGCAGAGUUCUCAUCGAAGUUGUAUCAUUUAAUAUUGUAUCCACAUUUCGAGUGUGUUGCGAGUCUGCUAGUAGAGACCUGUUCAUUUAAAUCUUAUUUAUUGAAAAAUGUAAACUUCCAGGUGCAAUUGGUGUCUAAUCAUUCAAUUCAGAAACUUGGAUAAAUUCUUUGUUCAUUCACUAAGCGAGAGCUAGUAUCAUCUCUAAGAAAAUUUUGAACAUAAUCUCAUUUGUUUUUAAAAUUCGAAUUGGUUGAUGAUUAAUGUUUAGAAGGGAUAGUUCGUCAUCUUCAAAAUACUAAUGAUUACUGCUGAAAUCCUGUGCUAUAUUUCCUUAUUCGUGCUGAGAUUGAGAACUCUGACGGUACACCGUCAGGAUGGGGACGCCUUCUCCACGACCAGGGGUGCGGUGAGCUCUCGUUACCAUGAUGGUGGAGACCCACAGGAGCUCGUCUCCCAGUCUUUGCCGGAAAACUUAAUUUACGAGCGUUUGCUUUGCCCUUGAUCUUGGAGAGGCGUUUGUAUCCCUGACGUGCAUACCGUCGCCUUAGUUACUACUAGUACUUGUUUGUACUACUGCGGUGCUAUUUUGUUGGACUUAGUUGUUUAUCUAAAGUUUAGUUUAGUUUAGUUGUCCCAUCUGAAACGCAUCCACAAACGUCUGUGCCAAGAAUGUCGUACAUUAGAGUACAAUGUUUGGUUUAAUGAAAGUAGAUUGAAUAAAGAGACUGCUCUGUUGGUCGUGUAAUGUUUGUAGGCAUUGUAUGUUAUCAAAUUAUUACAUUCAAGAUGCCUUAAUUUUCGAUAUCGUAACUCAUUUAUAAACGGCAGUAGAAAAUGCGACGGAAAAUCCACUUAAGUUUUCCUGAGUUACGUCUUAUUUGAGAGCUCAAAUGGAACUUAGCUUGCUGUUUUAGUUGUUGGAAUAGUUGUUCCGAAGUUUAACGUACGACGCUAUCACAAGAGCUGUAUUAAAAAUUAUAGGUGAAUCUGGUCACCGCGAUGCGUUCUAUAAAGUAAAGGAAUGUGUUUGUUAUA